AGCGGCGGACGGGUGAGUAACACGUGGGUAACCUGCCCAAGAGACUGGGAUAACACCUGGAAACAGAUGCUAAUACCGGAUAACAACACUAGACGCAUGUCUAGAGUUUGAAAGAUGGUUCUGCUAUCACUCUUGGAUGGACCUGCGGUGCAUUAGCUAGUUGGUAAGGUAACGGCUUACCAAGGCAAUGAUGCAUAGCCGAGUUGAGAGACUGAUCGGCCACAUUGGGACUGAGACACGGCCCAAACUCCUACGGGAGGCAGCAGUAGGGAAUCUUCCACAAUGGACGAAAGUCUGAUGGAGCAACGCCGCGUGAGUGAAGAAGGGCUUCGGCUCGUAAAGCUCUGUUGGUAGUGAAGAAAGAUAGAGGUAGUAACUGGCCUUUAUUUGACGGUGAUUACUUAGAAAGUCACGGCUAACUACGUGCCAGCAGCCGCGGUAAUACGUAGGUGGCAAGCGUUGUCCGGAUUUAUUGGGCGUAAAGCGAGUGCAGGCGGUUCAAUAAGUCUGAUGUGAAAGCCUUCGGCUCAACCGGAGAAUUGCAUCAGAAACUGUUGAACUUGAGUGCAGAAGAGGAGAGUGGAACUCCAUGUGUAGCGGUGGAAUGCGUAGAUAUAUGGAAGAACACCAGUGGCGAAUGCGGCUCUCUGGUCUGCAACUGACGCUGAGGCUCGAAAGCAUGGGUAGCGAACAGGAUUAGAUACCCUGGUAGUCCAUGCCGUAACGAUGAGUGCUAAGUGU
rnacentral:rRNA from 1 species